rnacentral:lncRNA from 1 species
GGUGGAGAGACUUCAAGUGAGUGCAAAGUGCUUUGUGGAUGUUGAUGAAUGAACCCCAAAUGCUAUGCUUCUCACAAAAACCCCAAACUUUGAUGAUGAGGAGGUGAAUAAUGGUGGAAAAGGGAUUUUUGAGAAGGUGGGUGUAGGGAAAAGUGAAGAGAUUGGCUUGGAGAAGUCUUGAGAGUGAUAAAAGAUAGUGGGGGUCUGAAUGAGAGGCUUGGGCGAGACCUAAGGGGUAUUAAAAUAUGCAAUGGGCCAACUAACGUUGAGCCCAACUUAAAAACCCAAUUGUGCAAUCUGUUACGCCACCGCUCAGCGAUGAGCGCGAUUUUGAAUCUUCACCUUUUUGCUUUUCCCUAAGCGUCAUUGACCCUGUAUUACUCAAAUUCAACUUUCAAUUUUUAAUUUUCAUGCAAUUCCCCAAUCACUCCACUCAAUCAUGGAACAAUUAAACCCUAAAAUGCAACUAGAAUAGAAUUAAAACAUGCAACAAAAUUAAAUCAAUCAACUGGGUUGCCUCCCAGGUAACACUUGUUUAACAUUACGAGCCUGACCCAAACCUUUCUAACACUCAUCAGUAAGUGAAAAUCUUACCAACACCCACAGUAAGUGUACCUUCUUGUAUCCUUCAGUGAAUAUUGUUGAGCACUAUUUAUUAGGUAGCAUCCCUCAAUAAAUGCUACCUAAUAAACAAUGCUCAACAAUAUUUAAAAUUACAUAACCAAAAUAAUUAAAUAA